rnacentral:rRNA from 1 species
AUUGAACGCUGGCGGCAGGCCUAACACAUGCAAGUCGAAUGAGUGGCGGACGGGUGAGUAAUGUCUGGGAAACUGCCUGAUGGAGGGGGAUAACUACGGGAAACGGUAGCUAAUACCGCAUACCAUCAGACGUGCCCAGAUGGGAUUAGCUAGCUGGUGGGGUAACGGCUCACCAAGGAGACGACCCCUAGCUGGUCUGAGGGGACGACCAGCCACGCUGGAACUGCGACACGGUCCUGACUCCUACGGACGGCAGCAGUGGAGACUCUUGCACAAUGGGCGCGAGCCUUAUGCAGCCCUGCCGCGUGUAUGAAGAGGGCCUUCGGGUUGUAAAGUACUUUCAGCGGGGAGGCGUUACCCACAGAAGGAGCGCCGGCUAACUCCGUGCCAGCAGCCGCGGUAAUUC